GCUGGGCAUGGUGGCACGUGCCUGUAGUGCCAGCUACUCAGGAGGCUAAGGCAGGAGGAUCAUUUGAGUCCAAGAGUUCUGGGUUGUAAUGCACUGUGUCUAUCAGGUGUUUGCACUAAGUUCAGCAUCAAUAUAGUGACCUCCCAGGAGUGGGGGACCACCAGGCUGCCUAUGAACCAGCCCAGGUUGGAAAUGGAGCAGGUCAAAACUCCCACGCUGAUCAGUAUUGGGACUGUACCUGUGAAUAGCCACUGCGCUCCAGCCUGGGCAACACAGUGAGACCCUGUCUCU
rnacentral:SRP_RNA from 1 species